rnacentral:lncRNA from 1 species
CUUAUUUUAGGACACUAAGCUUGUCCUUGGGAAACCAUCAAUUUAUGUCAGUGAAGUGGUUUCCCCUCCAACGCUGACCUAUAUCAAGAUCAACUCAACGAGAUCUGCAAAAUUUAUUAUAGACAUAUGCAUCGACAACCGCCCUUUUAAAAUUUUUAUAAAUAGAAAGGAAGAGGGGGUUGAAGAUCUCGAAUGUGGUGAUGUUGGAGAGACCAAUGGAUUGUGAAGAUGUUGCAUAUGAGCAUGGAGUAAAUGAAGUGGCUAUGAAAUAAAUUCCAUGCUCAUUAAUGCUUAGAGUGAAAUCCAUGUGGUAUGGUGAAAAUGAUAAGGUGAGUGUGAUAAAAAAGAAAAAGAAAAAGGAUACACGGACGACUUGGUUCGAAACUAGCACAGCUACCGUUCCCCGGCAACGGCGCCAGAAAGCUUGUUGGGUAUUUUAAACGCAAACAGAAAAAUCCGCAAGCGCACGGAUACCGAUGUAGCCUUCACCCGGGAGUAUUCCAGAGUAUCGAUUUUCUACAGGGAACGUGAGUGUACUAAUUAAGAAUCA